rnacentral:tRNA from 1 species
CCGAUAUAGCUCAGUUGGUAGAGCGGCUGAUUCGUAAUCAGCAGGUCAAGGGUCCGAGUCCCUUUAUCGG